UACGAAGGGGGCUAGCGUUGCUCGGAAUCACUGGGCGUAAAGCGCACGUAGGCGGAUUGCUAAGUCAGGGGUGAAAUCCUGGAGCUCAACUCCAGAACUGCCCUUGAUACUGGCGGUCUCGAGUCCGAGAGAGGGUAGUGGAAUUCCCAGUGUAGAGGUGAAAUUCGUAGAUAUUGGGAAGGACACCGGUGGCGAAGGCGGCUCACUGGCUCAUUACUGGCGCUCAGGCGCGAUAGCGUGGGGAUCAAACAGG
rnacentral:rRNA from 1 species